rnacentral:rRNA from 1 species
UACGAAGGGGGCUAGCGUUGUUCGGAAUCACUGGGCGUAAAGCGCACGUAGGCGGAUUCUUAAGUUAGGGGUGAAAUUCCGGGGCUCAACCUCGGAACGUGCCCUUUGAUACUGGGGAUCUUGAGUCCGGGAGAGGUGAGUGGAACUGCGAGUGUAGAGGUGAAAUUCGUAGAGUAUUCGCAAGAACACCAGUGGCGAAGGCGGCUCACUGGCCCGGUACUGACGCUGAGGUGCGAAAGCGUGGGGAGCAAAGCAGGAUUAAGAAACCCUGGG